CACACAUGCGCGCACAAGGCGACACCCGAAAUCUGGUGCGAUACCGGCUUUCAGUGGAGCAAGUACACACAUGCACACAUUUGGCCACACCAGCGCUCUGUUCUAGUGCAGGUAGUUUUCUGCAGUCCACGGUGAUACUACACACAACCACGCACUUGGCGAUACACGCUGUUUGGUGCGGUGCGGUGGACGUUCAGAAUUCGGUGGUGCAAAUACACACAUGCACACACUUGGCGACAUACGCUCUGCUGUGCGGUGAGAUUUGUGUUCUGUGUCCAGUGGUGCAAAUAUACACACACACGCACUUGGCUACACACGCAGUACGGCGCGGCUGGCUUGGCAGAAGCGCAUACACACAUUAACGCAGUAGGCUUUACGUUCAGUCCAGUGAGGUUGGUGCUUGUGUAGUGUUUUUGCACUUGGUAGUCGGCGGAUAAACCCCGUGAAAAAUGGAGAUUUGUUUUAUUUGAGACAACAAAACCUGUGGCUGUGUCGGAGUGUUGGAGCAGAUGGCCCGUACAGUGCAGCGAGAAAAACCAGGAGCAACAGCGAUGAGGAGCAGAAAGUGCUGUACUGAAUUUGUUAUUUUUUGCUCAGUGCGACUGUAAAAAGUGUUUUUUUUAAAUUAUGUGCGUUAAUUUAGGAUUAAGUGCAGUGAUUAUUGAGCAAGUGUUGUGUUUUCUUUGUAUUCUAUGUUGGUUCGAUAUUCAAUAAAUCGAAUUAACUUAGUA